CCUCACAAGAGCAGAGGAGAGGGGAAGAAUCACCUCCCUGGAGAUAAUCCUUGUAGGAAUCCUACCAGUCCUACAGAUUUUUAAUCCAUUUUAUAAAGCUGUGUCACAAUUGCACUGAAUUCUGUUGAUUUUACAGCUCAUAUACUUAAGGAUUAUUACAGAUUUUUAUUUUUUUUUCCUAGUAUGAAGAAUCAUAAUGAAAAUAAUUCAUGAAACUAUUGAGGGAUCUUCAGAUAAAAGCACCAGCGCCAGAAUUAUUCAACAAGCUCAGCAUCCACAAUCAGAUUAUACAGCUGUUGACAUUUUCAUCAGCCACAGACUAGUGCUUUCCACUCUGAAGAUCAAGAUACUUGAAUAUUCACCAGGAUUUAUGCAGUGCAACCUUGUAUUUCAUGACUUCUACAGAACAACUGCACUCGUCCACAGGCUCUGUAUGCAAAGUAUUACAAAAGAUGUAUGAAAUUUAUUCUUAGGAUUUUUUUUAUUUCUGUGGCCUAAAUCAAUUAACCAGUUACAAUGUCAGAGCUGUGGCUCAUGAUUUCUAUCAAGUUGAUUGAUAAGUAAGUGAAAAACUUCUGAGAUCACAGAUUAUAGAAUCAUAGAUUAAGUUUGGAAAAGACCUUUAAGAUCACUGAGUCCAACUUUCAACGAGCACCAGCACCAUGGUCACCACUAAACCAAGUCCCCAAGUGCCACAUCCACACCUUUCUUAAACUAUUCCAGGGAUGGUGAGUCCACCACUGUCCUAGGAGUGAACACCAAUCUGGAGCAUUCCAAAAUCUUCCUAAAAAGUAUAAAAACAGUCAGUAUAGGAUAUAUUGGGUUCUGUGCUGCUGUUGGUAAAGCUUUUAAAUUGUGCUUUGGUUUAUAACACUUGGCAACCAAAAUCCCAUUCUCCUUGGGAAGGGAUGCAACUCCAUUUUCAUGCCUUGAAAAGAAAUGCUUUCAGGGAAAUUCAAGAAAUGGAGUAGUGAGAACAGUGAGGCCAUUCCCUGCCUUGCCACUGGUAUUGCAUCUCGUAUGAAAUCCUUUUCUCUUUUUUUGCCUCAGAAUUGGAAUUAUCAUUUCAUCCACCUCCCUGCACAAGAUACUGUUAAUGCUCCCUGCUGCAGAUUAAAGGAAAAUUUGAAGUCCAACAUUUGCAGUUUAUCAGAUGCUUUAGCAGGAUGCUCUGCCUAAGUGGGGGUAGAAACAUCUUGAAUAAUCCCUGUUUGCAAAAGUUACCAGGGGUGGGUGGGAAGGGGAUCAUGCUGAGCUGGGGGUUGGAGGAUGCUGAGACCAGCCUGACUCAUCCAUCCCAAAAUUCAACAUUCUGGGGAAGAGCAGUAUUUGCUGAGGUCCUGAUAGAGGAGCCAACAGGUGCCAGUGCUGACAACUGAUCUAACCCAGCCUGGGGACACCUGAUAUCAGUCACUUUGUGCCAUAACAGCCCAGCUCCACUUUUUAAUGGGAGGAUCUUCUAACAAUCCCGCUUCUGGGAGUGUGUGGAGAUUCCUCCCUGGAGUGGGGACACCCUCAAGGUCACUCCUUGAGGGUGAGGAAAGACAUUUGAUCACUGGGAUGGGUGAGUGACAUCGCUCUCUACUUAAUAACUGUUUUUCUAGCUUUGAUAUCAUUGCUCCAAUAAAUAGUGAACUGUACUACUAGUUAGAGCUGCC
rnacentral:lncRNA from 1 species